AUUUAAUUCUCACAACAACCUAAAAAGUAGGCACCGUUACAUUCCCAAGUCUGAAAUAGGAAAGACUAAGACACGGUCUUUUCCUGUGUUGUCCAACAUCACAUCUGGGGAGGUCAAAACCAAGUCAUCUGAACCCAAGUGCUGACACCAAAAUCCACUGAAGUCACCAGACACAUGUGUCCUUAGAACUGAAUCCGUGUGUCUGUUCUCUGUCACCUGCAUCAGAGCCCUACUGAAAGUCCCUAAGGGCCUCAGACCUCUUCCUCUGCUGUACACCAAGGCAGUAGGAAAGAACAAAACCCAACAGCAGAACAAUGGACCCUACAUAAGAAGCUGUAGAUUACGAAGGCUGGCCACAGGACGACUGAGACACGCCCCCGGCACUUACUGCCUACAAUCCCCAGAGAGCCUCAACUGAGUUGGAACUGGGUAGAGUGAUGGACACAGCCAAGAAGAGAUAGGCAAGAACAAGAGCAGCAGCUGCAACUGGAGUUUAACAUGAGGCAACACCAUGCUGCCUUCCAACGCAUCCCUUGGGUUACACUAAACUAACCUGUGUCGCAAGCUGGCUUCAGAUCACAGUGUCCUUUUCAAUGUGUUCCAUCUUUUAUAACAACUUAGUUGGCAGCAUGAUAAUGCACUACUUACUGAUGCUGUCCCUGCACUGCCCAAUGCGGAAACCAGCCACUUCUCUGAGGACCCCUGGCUACCUCUAUGAGGAAGGUGCUGAAGACCAUGAACUGCGGUUACAGCUGUGCCGUUUUGACCUUUGGGCACUUCCAACACCAAUGCCCAACAAUUUUUGGUAGGAGUGAGCUAAUCAGAGCAUUUCCAUCAGAGAUGAACUUUCAGGAGGUCAGUUUUAUCUCAACCAGAAUUAUAAAACACAAUUCUGUUUUCGCCCUGGAACAAAGAGUACAGGAGUUGAAGCCAAGAGAAGGAAAUCGAUAGACACAGUGAAAGAAUAUGGUGACUCACUGUGCCAAGGGUAUCUCUCCACACGCAGAGCCGCUACAUCCCAGAGGCCCUGGGGACAAAGGUUUCAAAGUUGGAUCCCAGCCCAGCUGACUUGGUUCUCAUCUCUCGCCUCAGUGUGGGCAGUAAGACACUAGAUUGGUGUAACUAAAACUUUGUGCCUCAUCCUGUCUGGGACACCUGUGGAACCUUGUCUUUGUGUGGAUAAAAUACAAUCAGUGACACUCCAGAAUGCUCCACAGCCUGGGCACCUCCCCAAGGGUAACUCUAUUGGAGUGCUCGUACCAACAGCACAAGCCCACUUUGCCAAUUUAAAAACAAAAUGAACAAAGAGAAAUGUUUUGGUGGAUCCGGGAGGCGACUCAGUCAGAAAAGUGCCUGCUAUACAAACCCAGUGACCUGGGUGUGACCCCCAGAACUCUUCCUAAAGAAGAAAGAGGGUGGCACAUGGAGGUGCACAAUCGUAAUUUCUAUACUGAGCUGGAUCCCUGGUUCACUGGUCAUCCAGCCUGCCCUACGUGAUGAGUUCCACACAGUGAGAGACCCUGUCUCAAAACAAGAUGUGAGUUUCAGACCUGUGAGAGAGAUAAAAAGAGACCCUGUCUCAAAGAAAUAAAGAGAAAGCAAAAUACACACACAAAAAAACAAGGUGAAUGGUGCCUGAGGAACAAUUUCCAAGGUUGAUCUCUAACCUCCACAUACAACACCACCAACACACACAAACAUACAGUGAGCACACAUGCAUGCAUAUAUGCACACACAUGCACUUUGACUCUGAAACUUUUCAGAUGUAAAAACAUGGAAGAACCUCAUGUGACCAUGGCUGACAUUCUUACUUCAUCCCCGCUCUGGUUCUCCAACACUCUGAGAAAGAAGUUUUCCAAGCAAACUAUAAACACACUUCAUCAUUCACCUCUAACAGUUACCAGUCAUAUCUAAUAAACUUCAAGAAAUGAUAUAAUUGUCUAACAUCACCUAACAGUAUAUACAUAGUAUAAACUGGUGCUUAAUUUUCUCCAAAUAUGUUACAAAUACUUUUUUAUACUUGCUUAAGUGAAGACGGAAAUAAAUAAGACUUAUGCAGUACACUUAAGAAUUCUGUUUUGUUUUGGUUUUUUGAGGCAGGGUCUCUCUGUGUAGCCCUAGCUGUUCUGGAACUUGCUCUGUAGACCAGACUGGCGUUAAACUCGGAGCUCCAACUGCCUCUGACACCCAAUUGCAACUAUUUGUUUCUUUUCUUUUAAUGUUCUGUACUUUUUGGAGAACCUGGGUGGCAUUAUAGGACUUUCUACAUGGUGACACUCAGUCUUAACCUGUGAGGACCUUUUGGCACAUGAAAAAGUAUCCGCUGACUCGGAGAGUGACAGAGGUGGUAGUGACUCAGCAGGAACUAUGGGAGGAAGGACACACUCCCAGGUGCCAUGUAGCAGGGGACAGAAGUCCAAAGGAAACCGAGAAGAGGGGAGGCAGACUGCACUUCUAAUCAGGAAGAGCACUUUUGGGACUUUGACCGGAAGUCACCUCACCAAGGAGCAGGUAGGCUGGGCACCAACCAAUGAGUUUGUUCUGUUUGUCACAGAGAACCGAAGACCUGGUUUCCAAACUUGGGGAAGGUGAUUACAGAGUGUCUCCACAGGUUUUCAGCAUCUGCCUCUGUGACACUCCCUUUGGUGAACUGUGCUUUGGUGGGUGAUCAUCUCGCCAGAGGGUACCCACACUUUCAUUAUUCCUACCACGGACAAAUUCUUAGCUCAUUUUAUAAUCUUUCAAACAAAACAAAAAAGCGCUCCUGAAAAUCAUUUGCUUUAUGAUGGUUGUUUUUGUUUCAAUUUACACCUUUACCCUAAUCUUAUUUUCAUGUCUGCAUGGAGAAAGAGUGAAAGUAAGAUUUACAGAAGAAAAGGAAAAAGCCCAGAGGCAAAAGGUAGAUGGGAUAAUUUAAAGAUAAGAAAAGCUGGCUAGAAAUAAGCCAAGCUAAGGCUGGGCAUUUAUAAGUAAUAAUAAGCCUCUGUGUGUAAUUUAUUUGGAAGCUGGGCAGUGGGCCCCCAAAGAAUAAAGAAUAAAAACAACCAUGGCAGUGACCUCUUUCCAAAUAAAUGUUAGGGCUUAAGACUUCACUGUCUUUGGAGCAUGGUAUAAUUCACCUUUCAUAAAUAGGUUCAAUAUAACCUAAGCACCCCACACAGGUCCAAAUAAAGAUAGUCUGCCAAACUCCUUUUCCAUCUGUACUUAAGUGGCACUCUCCUUGGAACUGGCAUAACAAAGUUUCAGUGCCUGGCCUGCCCAGGAUGAAUGUAUGAGCUCAUGUCCUAUAAUCCAGGUUAGGAGAACUUGAGGGGAGGUUGUUAAUAAAUAGCAUAUACAUAUAAAUAGCAAAUAAAAUAAAUGAGGAUGCAAACCAAACACCAUGAAGCUUGCAACCUAAGAUGCAGAAUAGGGAGCCGAGAUGUAAGAUCUGGAGCCCCUGGACUCAGACAGCAACACCUACUGCAGGGUAGAUGCUGGCAGGUUACUCGGCUUUUCUGAAAUGAGGUAGCACACCGGACCUGACCAACCGAUUGAACCCUUCUGAACCGGAGGGUUCACUGAUACAGGAUUAACCCUUCUAUCAAAGGUCUACAGGGUAGUGCAGGAUAGGAUCAAAUAAUUAACCACCACACUGAUAAAGAAAGAGCAAUAGAAACCCUAAGACAGUAAUCCUUCACGAAAGCUCCUGUAAGUCAGUCUUGUAAAUGCAUGAGGUUCCAAAGCUAGACUUGGAAGCUCUCGGGGUGUGGGGUUUUUAAAGGGAAAAACUGCAAGUAGGGUAGUACAAGCCUUAUAUGAUUGGGUGAGGGUAUGUAACCUUUGAAUUUACUGGUUGGGG